CCAAACUUGGUCAUUUAGAGGAAGUAAAAGUCGUAACAAGGUCUCCGUUGGUGAACCAGCGGAGGGAUCAUUACUGAGUCUUCGACUCUCCAACCCACUGUGCUCAAAUAAUUUACUGCUGAGGCGGGCCGCUCGCUCGGGGAGCUCAGGCCUGUUACAGGUGGCCUGCCGAAGCAACUUUAAAUCUUUUUUAUCAAGUCACAUAAACUUUCUUGAAUCAAUCACAACCCAUAACAAUGGAUCUCUUGGCUCUGGCAUCGAUGAAGAACGCAGC
rnacentral:misc_RNA from 1 species